GGGCCGCGCCUGCGCAGACCGCCUGUUAUGGCGGCCGCCUAAGUCCCACAGAGACGGGAGUCGGGUGGGAUCCCAGGCUGGGCCCCGCGGCGGCUUUUGCUGCCCCACAGCAACCACUUAAAUGUAGGAACUCCAGCAGUGUACUGGGAUCAUUAGGACAGCCUGAGUCAUGAUGACCUCAUUUUGCAGUUGAAGAAGUGGGGGCCCUGAAGAUUUCAUGACAUCUACCCAGCUGGAUUCUCUUCCCUGGCCAAGUCUCUGAGAUCUUCUCCCAGGGCGAUGCAAAGCUACUCGCUACCAGCUUGGACCUGUCUGCAGUAUCUCCUCUGGGACCUGCCAUGCUGAGGACCCAUUCUCACCUCUGAGGGACUCCUGUCCUAGGACUAAGGUGGAGCCUGGGCCAUGGUACAGCUGGCUCCUGCGGCAGCCAUGGACGAGGUCACCUUUAGGAGCGACACUGUGCUGUCAGAUGUCCACCUCUAUACCCCGAACCAUAGACAUCUCAUGGUACGGCUGAACAGCGUGGGGCAGCCAGUUUUCCUGUCCCAAUUCAAGCUUCUAUGGAGCCAAGACUCUUGGACAGAUUCAGGAGCCAAGGGUGGCAGUCACAGAGA
rnacentral:lncRNA from 1 species